CUCACACUUUUUGGAAUUUACCCAGAUGAGUCAAAAACUUAUGUCUACACAAACACCUGCACAUGAAUAUUUGUAGCAGCUUUCUUCCUAAUUGCCAAAACUUAGAAGCAACCAAGAUGUUCUUCAAAUGAAUGGAUAAAUAAACUUUGAUAUCUAGACAAUGGAAUGGUAUUCAGCACUAAAAAGCAGUGAGCUAUCAAGCUGUGAAAAGACAUGGAGGAACUUUAAAUGCUGUAUUACUAAAAGGAAAAAAAAAGGCAGCCUGAAAAGGCUGUGUAUUAUAUGAUUCAAAGGCAAAACCAUGGAGACAGUGAAAGUAUCAGUGGUUACCGUAGUUUGGUGGUAGGGAGGAUGAAUAGGUGGCACACAGAGGGUUUUUAGGUCAAUGAAACUACCGCGCAUGACACUGUGAUGGUGGAUACAUGUCAUUAUACGUUUGUCCAUGCCCGUGGGCUGUACAGUAUCAAAACUGAAUCAUAAUGUGAACUAUGGACUUUGCGUGAUAAUAAUGUGUCCGUGUAAAUUCAUUGAUUAUAACAAAUGUACCAUUCUGGUGGGCCAUUUAGAUAGGGGAGGAGACUACAGAUGUGGGGACAGAGGGUACAGGAUAUCUCUGUACCUUUCCCACAAUUGUGCUGUGAAUCUGAAACUGCUCAGAAAAAAGUUCUAUUUAAAUUGAAAAAAAAAGUGAACUCAUUCAUGUGAUUACAAGGUGAAGAAAUAAAACAUUAAUACCAAUGUAGAAACCUUUGUCUUUCCUAUUCCUAGCUGCUCUCUUCCUUUCAAUACUGACUUUUAACAGCACUGAUUAAUAUUUUCUGUUUUUGAGCUCUAUUGAAAUGGAAUCAUGCAGAAUGCAUCUUUUUGUGUGUCUAACUUCUUUCACACAACACAAUUUGGGAUAUUUCAUUUGUGUUAUUGCAUCUAGCUAUAAUUUGUUUAUUUUUAAGAAGUGUAUCAUUCCAUUAUAGAAUUUACUACAACUUAUUUAUUGUGUGAACUAUAAUGUCAAUUUUGACUCUUUAGAGACUUUUUUCCUUCCUUCCUGUUUAUUAACUGCUUAUGUGACCUCUGAAUAACUGAAGUAUUACUGUUUGAGUAAAAUAAAAUUUGUAUUAAUUUUUAUUAGUAAAGACAUAAAUUUAUAAACUGGCAUAAUCAUACAUUUUAAACUAGUCAGGUAUAAAUAAAGUAUUAGGAAGUCUUA